rnacentral:rRNA from 1 species
GAUGAACGCUGGCGGCGUGCCUAAUACAUGCAAGUCGAGCGAACAGACGAGGAGCUUGCUCCUCUGACGUUAGCGGCGGACGGGUGAGUAACACGUGGAUAACCUACCUAUAAGACUGGGAUAACUUCGGGAAACCGGAGCUAAUACCGGAUAAUAUAUUGAACCGCAUGGUUCAAUAGUGAAAGACGGUUUUGCUGUCACUUAUAGAUGGAUCCGCGCCGCAUUAGUUAGUUGGUAAGGUAACGGCUUACCAAGGCAACGAUGCGUAGCCGACCUGAGAGGGUGAUCGGCCACACUGGAACUGAGACACGGUCCAGACUCCUACGGGAGGCAGCAGUAGGGAAUCUUCCGCAAUGGGCGAAAGCCUGACGGAGCAACGCCGCGUGAGUGAUGAAGGUCUUCGGAUCGUAAAACUCUGUUAUUAGGGAAGAACAAAUGUGUAAGUAACUAUGCACGGCUUGACGGUACCUAAUCAGAAAGCCACGGCUAACUACGUG